GUGGGGAAUCUUGCGCAAUGGGCGAAAGCCUGACGCAGCCAUGCCGCGUGAAUGAUGAAGGUCUUAGGAUUGUAAAAUUCUUUCACCGGGGACGAUAAUGACGGUACCCGGAGAAGAAGCUCCGGCUAACUUCGUGCCAGCAGCCGCGGUAAUACGAAGGGGGCUAGCGUUGCUCGGAAUUACUGGGCGUAAAGGGCGCGUAGGCGGACAGCUUAGUCAGAGGUGAAAGCCCAGGGCUCAACCUUUGAAUUGCCUUUGAUACUGGCUGUCUUGAGUUUGGGAGAGGUGAGUGGAACUCCGGGUGUAGAGGUGAAAUUCGUAGAUAUUCGGAAGAACACCAGUGGCGAAGGCGACUCACUGGCCCAAUACUGACGCUGAGGCGCGAAAGCGUGGGGAGCAAACAGGAUUAGAUACCCCAGUAGUCC
rnacentral:rRNA from 1 species